CCCAGUAGAACAAGGCACCCGGCGAGAGAAACCGAUUUUAUCUGCUUUGACCAUCGGCCGCGUUCUUUAACAACCCAGCCCCGGCGCUGGAACCUUGCCCACCUCCUCCGGGGUCUGCUCCGACCCCCGCCCCCGGGCACCUCCGAGGCACCGGCGGGCGCCGGCUGCAGCAGAGCGUGGAGGGAAACCGGGAGCCUCUGGCACCGGCGCUGCCACUCUUCGCUCCCAUUUUCUUCGAGAUGCCACGGAGCCACCCGGCGAUCGAUUGAUACCUCGGCCCGGGGGAGAAAGGGGGGGGUGGAACCAGCUGUUGCAAAAGGACAUGGUUUCAAUUAAAGAGAGAUCUAAACCCCCCACGCACGCCCCCCGGCAGGAGAUAAAUGACCGGCGAGGGGAGGCAUCGGACACGUCCUGUCUGUACGCCACGUUUGUCACCAAAGCCGAGCUGCCGCCGUGCCACAGCCAAUUCCCCCAGCCGGGCAGGGCUCGCUCCCUGCAGUGAUCGCGGUGCGACGGCACCCAGAGCCGUGCUGCUCCCCGUCUAUCUCCGUUCCUCAUUUUCCUUCUCCCGUUUCCCCAUUUUGUUUAACCCCUCUCGUCUCCUGCCGGACGGAGAAGCUCCGAGCUGGGCGGCUGCGGGUGGCUGCUCGGAGCAGGGGACCCUCGGGGUGUCACGGUCGCAAUAACUGCCUGUCACUUGUUCCCUCCCGAGUGAGAUUAAAAGCGCAAACUUCUCGGCACCGAAAAGACACACACGUACAAAAACAAUUUAAAAAUCUGCCUAUUUUCUAGGGGAGGAGGGAAGAACUUCAUUUAUUUUUUUUAGUGCCCCACUGAGGGGGUUUGGAGACGGCUGGGAACAGUUUUCCUUCUCUGUGUGACCCAGGUAUCUGCCCGAAGCCCCAGCGCAUCCAUCCGGGGGCUGCGAAAGGCACCGAAAUAUCGCAGCCCGACCCUGGGAAAUAUAGAGAUGGCGGAGAAUUUCCCCGUACAACUUGGUCACCGAGGCCAACCUAAAGGUGACACCCGACGUGUAGGGGAGGGAGGGAGAGGGAGCUGCGGGCUGCGUCCCAGCGAUGCUCCAAAAGGUGAUACUGGACGAGGAAAGAACUCUCAUCCUCCCCCAUCGCUUUCCAGCUCUCAGUGCUGCCAGAGGACAAAUCUCUGGGGCCAGCAGUCCGAUCCCAGCACCUCGAUGCCUUCGGGGCUCCGGGCAGUCCCCCCGGCAGCCUCGUCCCUUCUGCACGUCGGGGAAAAGCUCAUUUCUCUGCACCCACAGGGAUGGGACACUGCAAAACCCUCCAGAGACGGCCUCCGUGGGGAGCAGAACGAGCUGGGAACGUUUUUUUUUUAACAAAAGGGCUCUUCUCCGUCUUUAGGGCGUGGGAGGUUUUUGCAGCGCCGUUUUAUUUUAGCUUAGAAUGUUGAACAAACUUCAGAUUGAUUUCCGGAAAGCGCAAAUGCUCACACAUGGGAAAAGUGAAUAAACUGGUCCUUCGAGGUCACCCGAGAGGGGGAGACGGGAUCUGUACCCCCUUCCAAAAUAACAUAAAAUAAAGUAACAGAAGGGGAAAGAUCUUAUGCUUUUAUAGUUCAAAACUACUUUGAAUGAUUUGUUUUUAAUGGCACACGUGGCUGCAGAAAAGAGGCUCUGCUUUCGAUCUCGCGCUUGCUCCUCGUUUUUCUUGUAGGUGUGCGCGGACAUACGUGUGCUUUGCAGCCCCCACCUGAUGGCUCUCCCCGUCACCCCACCCUCCCCGGACCCGCAGCACGUCGCAGGCCACGCUCUCCCGUCGCCGUGUCCUCUGCCGGGAUCCAGAAGCACGGGCACAGCCGACUCCUACCCCGGCGCUUCUCCGGAGCAGCAGGGGUGUUGUGAACACUUAUUAAACCCAGAUGAUCUGAGAGUUGGGGCAUACGGAAAAGAUUUUCAAUUAAAGCCGAGAGCAGCCAGCUUCGCGUCGCAGGUGUAAACAAUAUUUGUGCAGCUCUCGCUUCUCAUCCCGGAGCGGAUCCUUCCCCUCGCUGCAUCCCGCAGGGAGGAGAAGGGAAGGGGCCGCUUCUCUCUCCGGGCCCCACUCGCACCUCGCCGGGCUCCCCACAUCGCUCAGUGCACACCCGGGCGGGUCUGUGCCCUGCAGCCCCCGGCCCCGAAUCUCCUCCCCUCCGCUCACCUGUUGCUGCAGCCGCUUCCGUAAGGGCAGGGACUAAAAGGAAAAUUCAAUAGCUCCG
rnacentral:lncRNA from 1 species